UCCUGGUUAGCUCAGUUGGUAGAGCGCUCCACUAGAAACGAAGAGGUCCAUGGUUCGAUACCCGGACCAGGCG
rfam:Ixodes scapularis strain Wikel colony gcontig_1108379825040, whole genome shotgun sequence.